CCUUUUCAAUACAUUUUUAGUCAUGCCAAAAGCAGGAAGAAAAUGUAUAUGAUUCCAGUGAAAUUUCUGUUGUAAGGUGACCCAGACUUUACUGAGUAAGAAUUACUGAUGACACAAAUCACUGAAGAGGUGUCUUGAAGUAGAAUAAAAAUCUCAAGCAGAAGGUACAGUAAUAAAUUCAAAUUAAUGGGUUCUUAUCAUGGGGAGUGGGGAGAGAACAUGAAGAGAUACAUUAGGAAUUGUAAACAUAAAAAUUUUAUAAGGCAUGUAAACAUUGUCCAUCCCGAAAAGUUAUGGAGCUAUCUCUUGUAUUUAUAAUUUCUUUAUCACCAUAGUUAAGAUCCUCAUCCCUCAUGGUAUUUUUCUGAGUAGUCACUGUAACUGCAGCAACAGCAAUAGACAGCCUUGGGUUCACCUCCUGGCUCCGCUAGUUAUUUGGGUUUAACUGGAACAAGUGACUUUAACCUCUCUGGGUUUUCGUUUCUUAAUCUUUAAAAUGGGAACAUCAAUGGUACUUCCUCUUCUGAGGAUUACAUGACAUAAUUAUUGAUCAUGUUUAGGCAGGGCCUGCAUAAAAUACAUGCUCAACCACGAUGACUAUAUCUUUACAUUCAGUCUGGCCACUUCAAACCCAUGUUUAUCUAUUCAUCUUUCUAGGCUGCUCUUUUUGUCCUAUUUCUGCUCUACUUAAAAGCCCUCAGGAGCUCCCUAUUACCUAUCAAAUAAAUUUCAAACUCACUGCAGUCUGGCCUCAAACUUUUUUGCCAACCUUAUCAUCUGUAUUUCCUAUAACCUCCACAUGUCACUGAAUUUGGACUACAUUCUAAAUUGCUCAAGUCAUACUUUUCCACUCAUUCUGUUGCCCUGCUUAGGACAACUCUGCGAUUUUGCCCGGUGGAAAUACAGCUUCUUCCCAUGGCUCAGGCCCAGUGGUCUCCCCUCUUUACCUUACCACUCUGUUGCCUACACAUACUUCUAAGUGCCUGUUUUGAUAGCCUGUCAGUCACUAAGCCAUACGCUCCCUUGAAUUGUCAAUAUUUAUGACAGUUUAUAUGUCUUAUCACACUUACUUAUAA
rnacentral:lncRNA from 10 species